AGGUGGGCCCAAUAUAAUCACAAGGGUCCUUAUUAGAGGGAAGCAAAAAGGUCAAAGUCAGAAUAAGGAGCUGGGGGCCAGUCUGGUGGCACAGCGGUUAAGUUCGCACGUUCCGCUUCAGCGGCCUGGGGUUCGCAGGUUCGGAUCCCUAUUGCGGACAUUGGCAAAAGCCAUGCUGUGAUGGAGAAAUUCAGCCACGGGAAAAAACCCUGCCUAACAUCAUACACCUGGUGACACAGCACAGAUUCAAGCUAACAGAGAAUCAGACUGGACAGCCAUCCUUCUCACAUUUACCAUUGCAAAACUGUAACUAUCAAUCAUAACUUGCCUUGAAAACCACUAGGCUGCAGUCACAGUGAAGACCAGCAAAGUGGCAGCCAACACAGUGGCAGAACAGUGUUGGAGCUCUUCCAAAGCUCCAUUUCCAGAGAACUGUCAGCAUUUGACCUGUCUGGUGAUCCCCUAGAAGACCUCACUUGCAAAACCGUUUUUAUUUGACCUCACUCGGAGCUCAUCCAAUAUGAAAAGCCUUUCUCCUGGGAGUGAUUUGCGGCCUGUCAUACUUAAGGCAGGUUGGAAGAGAAGAUUGACAUCCCAACAGUCUCCUUAUCUCUAUUUGAGAGGACACAACUGCCUGGGGUUUUCUGAAUUCAUAUGUCAUAAAUGCUGCAAGAUUACUGAGAAAUAGGUGCUGAAAAUUGCAAGUAAUUAUGAGCAAUAUAGACACAACCUUCUCUGAUCAAUUACUCCUUAUAGAAAAAGAAAUUCUUCAAAGUGGAUCAAAUAAUUGUUAGACCCCACUAGAAUUGAUCCCUCUUUCCUUGGACUUAUAUUACAUUUUCU
rnacentral:lncRNA from 1 species